GCCGAUGUGGUGAAAUUGGUAGACACGCCAUCUUGAGGGGGUGGUGACGCAAGUCGUGGCGGUUCGAGUCCGCCCAUCGGCACCA
rnacentral:tRNA from 1 species